GGCUGACUUCAGCGCUGCAUCCGCAGCAGCCUUUGGCACCGGCACUGCUGCAAGGAGCCUUUGGGAGCUCUGGGGUGAGAGCGCUGCCUCCAAGAGCGACUCUCCGUUUGGAAACCUCUGCUCAAGGUGAAGGCCAGGCCGCCUUAGUUGGCGCUCAGAAGUCUUGCAUCGAGGUAAGAGAUUAAUUUUUCAAGGAAGCUGAAGUGGCUGCUCUGGCUUGAGAGAUGAGGAUUUUUUUUUUAUUUCUUACUAAAUAAACACACAAAGGCAUCAAAGGCA
rnacentral:lncRNA from 1 species